rnacentral:rRNA from 1 species
GACGAACGCUGGCGGCGUGCCUAACACAUGCAAGUCGAGCGAGCGAAUCUCCUUCGGGAGUGAAGCUAGCGGCGGACGGGUGAGUAACACGUGGGCAACCUGCCUCAUAGAGGGGAAUAGCCUUUCGAAGGGAAGAUUAAUACCGCAUAAGAUUGUAGCUUCGCAUGAAGUAGCAAUUAAAGGAGCAAUCCGCUAAGAGAUGGGCCCGCGGCGCAUUAGCUAGUUGGUGAGGUAACGGCUCACCAAGGCGACGAUGCGUAGCCGACCUGAGAGGGUGAUCGGCCACAUUGGGACUGAGACACGGCCCAGACUCCUACGGGAGGCAGCAGUGGGGAAUAUUGCACAAUGGGGGAAACCCUGAUGCAGCAACGCCGCGUGAGUGAUGACGGCCUUCGGGUUGUAAAGCUCUGUCUUCAGGGACGAUAAUGACGGUACCUGAGGAGGAAGCCACGGCUAACUACGUGCCAGCCGCCGCUGUAA